GCAGGAUGCGCCGCUCCGAGGGGAGGCCGGCGCCGCUGCCGGCCGCCUGAUGCUGCCGCAAUUCGCCAUUGCCGGGCACGGCUCGGAGCCGAGCGGAGGGAGGCGGGGGGCAGAGCCGGGGGUCCCGGGGGCACAGGAGCAGCAGGCGCCCCUGCCCAGCCGCCCCCGCAGGCCGAGGCCGCCGCCGUCCUCCCCGAUGCCCGACCGCCGCCGGCGGGGGGCCCCGGGGGCCCGCUCUUGUCUCCUCUGGCUCUUUGUGUUGCUGAAGAGUGCAGAGCCCUUCCAAGUUGCUGUCCAAGAAGACAAUUGUAUCAUUGUGUCCCUGGAAGUGUCAGACGUGGUGAGCUCCUCCUCUGUAUAUGUUGUGAAGAUAGCUGGAGAAUCCAAGAACUACUUUUUCCAGUUCGACGAAUUCAAUAGCACUUUACCUGCCCCUGUGGUUUUUAAUGCCAAAUACCAUGGCCUGUAUUACAUAGUGACUCUGUUGGUAGUCAACUCAAAUAUGGUUUCCAAGUCAGUGAGGUCAAUCACUGUGUUAACCAAACCACUUCCUGUGAGCAAUGUUUCUAUUUAUGAUUACAAACCAUCUCCAGAAACAGGAGUGUUGUUUGAAAUUCAGUACCCAGAGAAGUACAAUGUUUUUACCAGGGUCAAUAUAAGCUACUGGGAAGGGAAAGACUACAGAACAAUGCUCUACAAAGAUUUCUUUAAAGGUAAAACAGUUUUCAAUCACUGGCUGCCAGGCAUAUGCUACAGUAACAUCACAUUUCAGCUGGUGUCAGAAGCAACCUUCAACAAAAGCACUCUUGUGGAAUACAGUGGGGUCCAGCAUGAGCCCAAACAGCACAGAACAGUUCCUUACCCACCCCGAAACAUUUCUGUUCAGAUUGUCCCAAUCAACAGAAACAACUGGGAAGAGCACAGUGGGAAUUUCGCGGAAGAAUCCUUCAUGGGACCGCAGGAAAUCAUCAGGAAAGAGAAAGGCAGACAUCUUUCUGGCAGCCCUACUGAAAUCCCAGCAGCAAACACCUCUGCAGCCUGGCUGGACAAGCCCUCCAACACCAGCACUGAAUAUGAAACCAGCUCGCAGCCGUCCUGGUGGUCCAGCGAGGCCGAGUCCUCUGAGGGGGAGGAGGAGUUUGUCAAUGCAGUUUCCAGGGAUUAUGAAGCCAGUGAUGCCAACACGGCUGGCAGACCCACAGCAGAGCCCCCUCCCUUCCUUCCUGUGCAGAUGGUGCUGAGCUGGCUGCCCCCAAAGCCCCCUACAGCCUUUGAUGGUUUCAACAUUAAUAUUGAAAGGGAAGAGAACUCCACAGAAUUUUUGACAGUGAGUGAGGACACUCACAAAUUUGUUGCCGAACUGAAAGAACCAGGAAAAUAUAAAUUGUCUGUAACAACAUUUAGCUCCUCUGGCUCUUGUGAAGUUCGGGGAAGUCAAUCAGCAAAAGCACUUAGCUUUUAUAUCAGCCCCACAGGUGAGUGGAUAGAGGAGCUCACUGAGAAGCCCCAGCGUGUGACUGUGACGGUGCUGAGCUCCACCACUGCCCUGACUUCCUGGACGGCGUCACACGAGAGCAGUGGCAACAGCACCAUUGUGUCUGUGCUCUCCCUCACCUGCCAGAAGCAAAAGGAAAGCCAAAGGCUUGAAAAACACUACUGCACCGAGGUGAAUUCAAGCAGCAGCCUCAUUGAAAAUCUCGUUCCUGGUGCCCAGUACCAAGUUGUGGUUUACCUACGGAAAGGACCAUUGGUUGGACCUCCCUCUGAUCCUGUCACAUUUUCCAUUGUGCCCACAGGAAUUAAGGAUCUGACACUUUACCCUUUGGGACCUACUUCUGUGGUUCUGAGCUGGAACAGACCUUUCCUUGGGGUGUUCAGGAAAUACGUGGUAGAAAUGUUUUACUUCAACCCAUCAACCAUGACCUCGGAGUGGACAACCUACUAUGAAAUAGCAGCAACUGUCUCCUUGACUGCCUCAGUGAGAAUAGCCAACCUGCUGCCUGCUUGGUAUUACAAUUUCCGGGUCACCAUGGUGACCUGGGGGGACCCAGAGAUGAGCUGCUGUGACAGCUCCACCAUCAGCUUCAUAACAGCACCAGUGGCACCCAAAAUUACCGCUGUAGAGUAUUACAACCACCUUCUCUACGUCACCUGGACCUAUGGAGGAGAUGGCCCUGACCUUUCUCAUUCCAGGAUGCUGCACUGGAUGGUUGUUGCAGAAGGAAAGAAAAAAAUCAAGAAGAGUGUGACACGCAAUGUGAUGACUGCAGUGCUGAGCUUGCCUCCUGGGGACAUUUACAACCUUUCAGUGACUGCUUGUACUGAGAGAGGCAGUAAUACUUCCAUGCCCCAACUUGUGAAAUUGGAACCAGCCCCUCCAAAAUCACUGUUUGCUGUCAACAAGACUCAGACCUCUGUGACUCUGCUGUGGGUGGAAGAAGGAGUAGCUGAUUUCUUCGAAGUCUACUGCCAGCAGGCUGGAUCUGGCCAGGAAACAAAAGCCCAGGAACCUGUCACUGUCUCUUCACACGUUGUCACCAUUUCCAGCCUGACCCCUGCCACUUCCUACAACUGCAGUGUGACCACCUUCAGCCACGACAGCCCCAGCAUCCCCACCUUCAUCUCCGUUUCCACCAUGGUCACUGAGAUGAACCCGAACAUCGUGGUCAUCUCCGUGUUGGCCAUCCUCAGCAUCCUCCUGAUUGGACUGCUGCUGGUCACUCUUGUUGUACUCAGGAGAAAACACCUACAAAUGGCCAGGGAGUGCGGGGCUGGGACCUUUGUGAAUUUUGCAUCUUUAGAGAGAGAUGGAAAGCUCCCCUAUAACUGGCGUAGAAGUGUAUUUGCUUUCCUAACUCUGCUACCCUCAUGCCUUUGGACUGAUUAUCUUUUGGCAUUUUAUGUUAAUCCUUGGAGUAAAAAUGGAUUAAAGAAGAGAAAGCUGACCAACCCUGUCCAGCUGGAUGAUUUUGAUGGAUACAUCAAGGAUAUGGCCAAAGACUCAGAUUAUAAAUUUUCUCUGCAAUUUGAGGAGCUAAAACUGAUUGGGCUGGACAUCCCCCACUUUGCUGCUGAUCUCCCCAUGAAUCGCUGUAAGAAUCGCUACACAAAUAUCCUGCCAUAUGACUUUAGUCGUGUCCGCUUAGUCUCAAUGAAUGAAGAGGAAGGAUCUGACUACAUUAAUGCCAACUACAUCCCUGGUUAUAAUUCACCCCAGGAAUACAUUGCAACCCAAGGACCACUGCCAGAAACUAGGAAUGAUUUUUGGAAGAUGGUUCUCCAGCAAAAAUCACAAAUUAUUGUUAUGCUCACUCAGUGCAAUGAGAAAAGACGGGUGAAAUGUGACCACUACUGGCCUUUCACAGAAGAUCCUGUUGCAUAUGGGGAUAUCACAGUGGAGAUGCUGAGCGAGGAGGAGCACACGGACUGGGUGUAUCGCAGCUUCCGGAUCAGCUAUGCUGAUGAGGUGCAGGACGUGAUGCAUUUUAACUUCACUGCCUGGCCAGACCACGGCGUUCCCACCACCAACGCUGCCGAGAGCAUCCUCCAGUUUGUACAGAUGGUCAGGCAGAAAUCAGCAAAGACUAAAGGCCCCAUGGUCAUACACUGCAGUGCUGGCGUGGGGCGGACGGGAACGUUCAUUGCCCUGGACCGGCUCUUGCAGCACAUCCGUGACCACGAGUUUGUGGACAUUUUGGGCCUGGUGUCGGACAUGAGGUCCUACAGAAUGUCCAUGGUGCAGACAGAGGAGCAGUACAUUUUUAUUCACCAGUGUGUGCAGCUGAUGUGGCAAAAGAAGAAGCAGCAGUUCUGCAUCAGUGAUGUCAUAUAUGAGAACGUCAGCAAGUCCUAGUUCAGAGUCACAGGUGGUGAGACCAUGAAGCACACCCAUCUUCCCUUGCUUCUGAUUUAUUUUCUGUUGAUGGUUUGAAGGGGCAGGUGUUGUGCCACUAGAGACCACUGCUUUGCAGUGCAUAGACAAUGAGGGAAAGAAACUUUUACCUUUCUGAAGCACUGGGGAGACAAAGCCUUAACGAGCCUGCGAUGUCUUUUGAACUGUUUAAUUUCUGGACAUUUUUUUUAAAUACUGGACCAAAUUCAGCUAAACAACAUGAAGGAAAAGACACUAUAUGUGCAUAAAACAGAUUGCUCCAGAGCAUUGGGAUUUUGUUUGGUACUUUCAGGCACCCAGUGCUACUCCCACUGCUCCCACUAAUCCCAGUCCUAGAGCCGGAAUGCUGUUUCUCCAAGCACAAAAUGGGUGCAGAAGGGAAGAGCACCCUGUUUCAGGGAGCCAGUUGUUGACAAGAAACUCUUCAAUGGUGCACAUUUCUCCCUCAUUUCAUUGGUGUGCCUCAGCUGGAGGGCCUGCCAUUCCAGUAGGAACAGCAAAGAGUUGUCUGGCCUAAACUGAACAGAAAACAGAAUUAUAAAUGAGUGCUUGACCAUUUAGACCUUGCCUCCAUGCUUUUUUUUUUUUUUAAUGUAUUUCAGAGUUUCAUUAUAUGUUUACUCAGAAAAUGUGUUCAUAUCCCUUUAGACAACUGGUUGGGAGAAAAAAAAAAACCCACAAAUGUUCUUUUUCAUCUGUUGUCUCCUCCUUCCUGCUGGCCAUUGCCUAUUGAGCCAAUACUCAUUCUGUAUCACACCAGGGUAAGCAGGUUACUGCUAAAUCAUCUCUGUGCCCACAAAAUAUCACAGUGCUGUAAUAGAAGCUUGGCUGAAUGUGACAGGGUACAAAAUUGCUGCAAAGGUGCCAAAAUCACAUUGUUGCAAAGGACAGUGAGCAGCCUGAAUUUACUAGACAGUUUUUGAAUGAGUGCUAGAAAUUUUUCCAUUUGCACAGCAGCAGGUGGGUAUUUUUCCUUUAAUAGCUGCUUAAUCACAAAGUCAAUUACAAUGAAAAUUCCAUCAGAAUACCUUUUCCUACCCCACGCAGUAUGCAAGACUGUGUAAGUGGACAUGUGGGAUGGCAAUGGAAACCACCUCUCCCAGCAUUCAAGACAUGAGUAAAGCAAUAAAUGAGCCUGGAAGACACUGUGGUUCAGAAGACUCAUGCAGAGCCUUUUAGACUGAAUUUUGGCAUCAUAAUUUUGGCAUUACCUCAUCAUACCCCUUCAGUGUAAGUCCAAAAGAACAAUGUUUUGGACUUAUGCUUCAUGUUAAUAUUGGUUCCAGCAUCUGCUAAAAUAAAACCCUCUCAUUAUCACAGCUGUGAAGCUAUCUGAAGCUUCAGGUUUGGUAAUAGAUCUUUGGAAUUAUGAGCCUCAUGUCCAAAGCUCUGCUGACACUAUUGAUGCUCUUUAUUGAUCUGCUGCUCUUCCAGCAUUUACUGACCCAGAUGUCUGUAAAAGCAGUUCUGUGCUGUGAGUGACCAUUAACUGAAACCAGGGCAGGUUUUCUCAUGCUGUGUGUGUGCUGCCAUAGAAGUAAAAAAUAAGUAAACUUAACAUGACUUUGAAAUGGUAGGAAGCUUUUACAGGCAUGUGUAAAAGUGUGGCCUCUCUGAGCACAUCCUGUGCAGUGAGCCCUGACAUCCUUGGGUCUUCAGAACUGUUUUGUUCAAAUCUCACCAAAAUAUUAAGAACAGGUCAGGAAGCCUUAUUCAUGCUUUAUUUCAGUUUAAUGUUUGUCCUUUUUCCCUACACCAAACUAGGAUGAAUGUCUCCUGUCAAAUAAUCAACAUCAUCAUCUUAUGCUCUAAAAUGGCCCUUCCCUCCCUCCCUCCUUUAACCACAGUCACACCACUUGCCCCUCACUUCUAACUUUUGAAGGGUUUGUGUCAAAACUGUAAUUUCAUUGAGGCAGGCAAAAGCUGCUGUUUCAGCCAUUUCUUGUGAGAGAAUAAUGUUGUUAGUGCUCUUGACAUGGAUGGGAGCAGAGUGGGUUGAGCUUUGCUGCUGCUGUGACAGGCACCAGUGGGGACUAGGAAUCUUCUAGGAAGACUCCCUAUUUUCACUCAUUUCCUCUCUUAAUCUGCAAAUAUUACCAAGGAGUUGAAGUAUAGACUCAUAUCCUGAUGCUCAUUUUGGUCUGAAAACUGAGGAAGUAGAAAUCUGUCACAGCUGCAGUAGAAAUUUAAAGUCUGUGAAAUAUUUAAACACAGAACCAAAAUAGGUUCCCUCUCAUUUGAACUUCUCCUAUAUAAUGUUGGUGCUUUAUGUAGAGGGGGGAAACUGAUCUCAAAACUAUUCCCUCAAAUACUUUUGAUGCAUCAGAACCUUAAACAGGGCUGGUUUAGACACCAGACUCAACACAGUAGAAUAACUGGGCUCCUAUGAAAGGGUAAUUUGGCCAGAAUGUUGAGUUCCCAUUCAUGACUGUGUUUCCUUUAUGCUUGAAAUACAAGAAAAUCAGUGGUCAUACCUGCUUGAACAGGGUCUGGUAUUAAAGCCAUAACUUGCUUCUGGCUAUGAACUGAAAACUCAAAAUGCCUUCACUCCCAUGUUAAAAUAAAAAUUCUGUGACUUACAGUUUUCCUAAUUAGAAAGAAUUUACAUCUUACAGGUAUUCAUGGAUUCUUUUGUUUUUUCCCUUAAAUUACCAGAAUUCUGAAGUUCACACUAAUGAACACACUGAGAGCUCUGCACAUUUCAGACUAUCAUUAUAUUUUUGGAUAUGAUAUCUCUACUGCUUCAUAAACCAUUUAUUCCUGCACACAUAAGUCAUGCAUAGAUGCACUUAUUUCCCAACCCCACUCAAAACAAAACAAAACAAAAAAAACCAGACAGCAAACCACCAAUUUUUAUCCAGUUCAAUGCUUUGGAGCAAUGAAAGUUUGUAUAAAAUCCCAGAGACCACAGAUUGUCUGAGCAACAUUUGAAUUGCUAUAUGGUAAGUAAAUUGUUCCACCCAUCAA